AACGAACGCUGGCGGCAGGCCUAACACAUGCAAGUCGAGCGAGGACUUCGGUCAUAGCGGCGGACGGGUGAGUAACGCGUGGGAACGUGCCCUUUGCUUCGGAAUAGCCCUGGGAAACUGGGAGUAAUACCGGAUGAGCCCUUUGGGGGAAAGAUUUAUCGGCGAAGGAUCGGCCCGCGUUGGAUUAGGUAGUUGGUGGGGUAAUGGCCUACCAAGCCGACGAUCCAUAGCUGGUUUGAGAGGAUGAUCAGCCACACUGGGACUGAGACACGGCCCAGACUCCUACGGGAGGCAGCAGUGGGGAAUCUUAGACAAUGGGGGAAACCCUGAUCUAGCCAUGCCGCGUGAGCGAUGAAGGCCUUAGGGUUGUAAAGCUCAUUCAGCUGGGAAGAUAAUGACGGUACCAGCAGAAGAAGCCCCGGCUAACUCCGUG
rnacentral:rRNA from 1 species